GCAAGGACAUGCGCCUAUAUAUUGCUCUCGUUGUCAAAAUGGCAAACCUCCAUGUUGCCAUCACUGUUCUGUCUUGGUUUGGAGACGCUGAGAAGCUCACCAAAGCCCUUUUCUCGUUUGCAAGUCGGCUAGCUCCUGUUAUCAUAUUUGUGGAUGAGGUUGACAGCUUACUUGGUGCAAGGGGUGGUCCAAUGGAACAUGAAGCAACGAGAAGGAUGCA